rnacentral:sRNA from 1 species
ACCUUGCGAUAACAAAAUCAGAAUCUGCCUGGUCGUGAGAUUUUUUAGGUUACAUCGGCAAGAAUGAUCUCUGACGUACAGCUAGCCAUCUUUGCAAAUGCUCUUGGAGUGACACUAUUCUUGUUGGUUGUCCUGUACCACUAUGUAUCAGUCAACAACAUAAAAAAGAGUGAUUAACUGGAAUAUUUAGAGAUGUGAAUCUUCAUUGACAUACCAAUGUUUCAGAGAGAUGUAUGAAUGGGCUAGUGUAAAUGUUUUCAUUUGUUAGUCAUUAAAAUGUAAUUUU